GGUUGCGAUCAUACCAGCAUAAUGCACCGGAUCCCAUCAGAACUCCGCAGUUAAGCGUGCAUUGGGCAGAGAGUAGUACUAGGAUGGGUGACCCCCUGGGAAGUCCUCGUGUUGCAUCCC
rnacentral:rRNA from 1 species